rnacentral:rRNA from 1 species
AGAUUGAACGCUGGCGGCAGGCCUAACACAUGCAAGUCGAGCGGUAGAGAGGUGCUUGCACCUCUUGAGAGCGGCGGACGGGUGAGUAAUGCCUAGGAAUCUGCCUAGUGGUGGGGGAUAACGUUCGGAAACGGACGCUAAUACCGCAUACGUCCUACGGGAGAAAGCGGGGGACCUUCGGGCCUCGCGCCAUUAGAUGAGCCUAGGUCGGAUUAGCUAGUUGGUGAGGUAAUGGCUCACCAAGGCGACGAUCCGUAACUGGUCUGAGAGGAUGAUCAGUCACACUGGAACUGAGACACGGUCCAGACUCCUACGGGAGCAGCAGUGGGAAUAUGGACAAUGGGCGAAAGCCUGAUCCAGCCAUGCCGCGUGUGUGAAGAAGGUCUUCGGAUUGUAAAGCACUUUAAGUGGAGGAAGGUUGUAAACUUAAUACGGUUUGCUAAACUUUGAACGUUACCGAACUAAGAAUAAGCACCGGCUAACUCGUGCCAGCAGCCGCGUAA